GUCUGAGACCAGCCUGGCAAUAAGUUUGAUAAGGCACAGUCCCCUAACAGACAGUCUUCUGUGAUUUUUGCCUCUAAGGUGACAUUUAUUAUAUUGUAUUAUAAUUGUCUUGUUUUUCUGUUUCCCCAUGGAACCACGAGCCUCUUGGGUUUGCAUUGAGAUUCCCCAGUACUUUGGCCAGACAUGGUCUUGAACCCUGGGGACAGAGCAGUGAGAGUGAUGGAUGGAAGAGCCCUGUUCUCGGGAGUUUAUAUUCUAGAAACAGAAGUGGGGGAUAAGGAAACAACUCAAUAAACAAGAAACUUUCUGAUGGUGACAGAGCUAUGCAGGGAAGAGAACAGAAUGGAAUGGAGACUAAGUGACAGGAUAUCUGGCUGAAAAUGGUCUGAGGGAUUGACUAAUCUCACUCCCAGAAAAUCUGGUGGCUCUUCCAGGAGGGAAUGGGGCCUCCCCGACAUCAUUCAGCCAGGAGGGGGGCUUUCACAAAAGGAGGUUUUCAGAAGCCCACAGCAGGCAUCUUACAUCUUUUUUUUUUUUUUUUUAAGAUUUUAUUUAUUUAUUUGACAGACAGAGAUCACAAGUAGGCAGAGAGGCAGACAGAGAGAGGGGGGGAAGCAGGCUCCCUGCAGAGCACAGAGCCCAAUGUGGGGCUCGAUCCCAGGACACUGGGACCAUGACCCGAGCCGAAGGCAGAGGCUUUAACCCACUGAGCCACCCAGGUGCCCCUGCAUCUUACAUCUUAUUGACCCAAACAGAGUCCCAUGCCCACCUCUAGAACAAUUACAGAUGAAAACAAAAAGAACAAAGGGCACAUUCCUUAAGAUUCACUAAAUGAAGGAAUUCUUAGAUGGCAGCAAAGAGGAAAAAAGAAAACCCACUGGAUUCAACAAAGGAACCAACAUCUUAGCAAUCCAUUCUCUUUCAACUGCAAAGAUCAUCCCGUUUUCAAAUUCUGGCUCUUCCACCUAGCAGCUGGUUCUCCUUGGGCAGGUUAAAGAACCUCUCUGUGCUUUAGUUUCCUCAGCUGUAAAAAUGAGAUUCAAGUAGAGUUUCUUGUCAAGAGAAAAAAGAUGAAUUGCUCCAUAUAAGAGAUGUAGAAUAAUGCUUAGCAGUCGGUAAGCAAAUAAUAUUUUGUUGUUAGCUAUAAUCCUAAUCUUCAUCUUUGGUGCUCGGUGCCAAACCUGUGGCAAGGAGGCAUCUUGAUCUUUAAGCAGGAGAGAGAAUUUCAGUUCUGGGGUCUCUUCUGGCACUGCCUUCCAGAGGAGGUCCGAUAUUUCUCUGCUUCUAUGCCACAUGCCAAUCCCUUUCUCAUUGAAGCCAUACCUUUAUUAUUUAUUUAGAACCAGGCAGUGGGGAUGCAAAUGAACACCCCAGUGCCAGCUGCCUCAAGGGUCCCCAUCUUUGCAAUCACCCCCAGUGCUUCCAGAUACUUCCAAUGGCAAUAUUUCAACCUGCAGCAGCAGUCCCCACCCAGAGUUUGCCCCGGUCAGCCUCCCCAGCUCAGGCUCUGCUGCUGCUGGCUCGCAUCCCAGGCCCGUGAAUGCUGGUGAAAGGAGGAGAGGGUCUGUCUUUCCUCCCAGAGACUUGGAAACACUUCCUGUCUUUACCGCAGGUGGGCAAGCGUAUCCCACAAAGGACCAAAGAGUACAUAUAUUUGCCUUUGCAGAUCAUGGUCCUUUGAUCCCAACUACCCAGAUCUGAAAUUAUAGCAAAAGCUGGAAAGAAAAAAAAAGGGAGGGGGGCAGCCUGAGUAAUAUGCAAAUUAGCGGGCGUGGCUACAUUCCAAUUAAAAAAAAGUGAUUUGCAAAAACAGAUGGAUGGGUAGAUUUGGCCCAAAGACUGUAGUUUAUUCCUUCCUUAUCUAGACAGUGAAACAGUAUUGUUUGUACCCAAAGUUUGAUAGGGUUUCUCAAGAACAUUCUAGUUAGUUUCUAACACUCAGUCCUCCUAAUAGGAGCUCAGACCCAGGCCAAGAGGCUGAAAAGGAAGAUUUUCUCCAUUCUCCAUCCCUGCCCAUUCCUCUCCUCCCCUCUGCAUCCCCCAGUCAGAGCUCCUUCCUCCUCCCAGUUUGAAGGCGUCCAGUAGCUGCAGACAGAAAAUGGGAGUAGGGGCCAGAUGAAGUCAAUCACACCAAUAUUUUUCAAACGGCGGGUUGUCAUUCAUCAGUGUAACAUAAAAUUAAUCAGAACACAUUUGAAGAAAUAAUAGAGAAUAAACCAUAAAACAAAAUCCCAGAUAGCACUUCCUAUAGCGUUAUUUUAUGAGGUUUUUUUUUUUCAGUUUUGUAAAACAGUUUUACAGAUACAUAUCUGUAUGUAGAUACAGAUAACCAUCCAUAUCUGUUCCUGGAUUAUGAUAUAAAAGAAAAUGUAUUUAUUACUGUAGGUUGUGAACACAAAUGUCUGGAAGCCAUUGACUGCGGUCUAGGUGUCUGGGACUCAUCUCUGGAGGCCAACAUUUGUCUUUCCUACAGAGAUGAAGGUGUUGUCUCUGUUCUUAAAGAACUCCACAUCUCUGGAGGAAACUGACACGAAAACAGUUACAGUUCAUUGCCAUAAGAACUCUGAGAUGAGAGCGGGGGACGUCAAGAAAGGUGGCAUUUGCUCCUGGUCCUACAGGCUGGACAGGGGUGUGUUUGGCCGAUGGGAAAGGCAAGCUGAGGAACAUCAUGUACAAAAGCAGGAAGUGAUUCCCGCUAUCACGUUGCUCACACAUUUGUCCUCCAAGUGAAGUCAGGACCUAAGCAAACAUUUGGCUGCUGAGUUUUGUUUGCUUUCCCUGAAAUCAAACAGACCAACCAAGUCACUGGCAAACGCUGAGUAGGGGUCACUCCAGUACUAACUUAUAAAUCUCUUUGACCACUGACCCAGCACAAGGUUUUCUGGUCCACUUUCUGGGAAGUGUUCAACCGUCUCCCCCUGAGCCAACUUUUAUGAUGCAGAAAGACGCAAGUCUGUGUGUAAUGUCCUGGUCAAUGACCAGGGGAGAGAAAGCUAUUAAAAAGAUUGUCCAUCCAUUCGGUGGCGUGCAGCCCGACCAGCCCGGCCUUCGUAAUUCCCAUCAUCUGGCUGUCAAGAGUAAUAGGAGGAGAUGUCCCUGAUACGACUUACUAGGCCGAUCUUUAAAAGCUGUGACUGUCCCCUCUAAUUUUAGCUUCAGCCACACUGAGAAUACGAGCAGACCGUUAAAUCUUAUGGAGCCUUGGAGGAGGUGGGAAUGGCUUAGAGCUGGGAGACAGAAAACCUGUGUGAAUCUUAGCUUAUCACUUGAUUGCCAUGAAAGCAUCAUUGUACCUUUCUCGGGCUCAGGGCUCUUCUGUAAAAUAGGGGUGAUAAUCAUUUCUCAGGGCUAUUGAGAUCAAAUGAGAUACCUGUGAAGAAGCUUUGUAACCUGUUAAGGGAUAUACAGCUCCUAGAUUAUCUUUGAUACCCCUUCCAGGAAAGCUGCUAAGCCACAGGUUGCUAAGUUCAUUAAGAUUCCUUUCAUGAACUGAGUAAGUAUGGCCUUCGAAAGCUCUUUAAAGAGCUCUUCAAAAGCUCUUCAUCCUGUCAUUGAGAGGCUCUAGCUAUGGCUAGGGAAUCCUGUCUUGCAUAUGCCUUGUACCUAAGUGGGAACCAUUGACAUCUUGAAUCCAGAGUCUUCUUUGUAGCUGUUCAUUCAUUCAGUAGACAUUUAUCGUGUCCCUGUUAAGUGCCAGGCAUUGGACUUGGUGGCUGUGGAUGCCCUGCUGGAGAUAACCUAGACUCUGACCUGACGGGACUUCCAUCUCUGUGAAGGAGAUCAGAAAGGAAUGCGCUCUUACACAGCCUGAGGAUAACUACUAGAUAUUCUGGGUCUUUAUGGAAGAUUGUCACCAAAAAAAAAAAAACCCAAAAGACCAAAAACAAAAAAAAACAAAAAAAAACCACCACCGUGAGCAACAUGGCUGAAGCUUUACUUGCCACAUUUUCCAACAGAAGCAGGGACUUGGGCUUCCAGACACUCUCCCACCAUUGUCUCUUCCCUCUUGUUGGCAAGUUUUGCACUGAAUGGAGAUGCUUUCCUUGGCCCUGGGAUCGCCAGCAGAGGGCGCACGAGGCUCUUUUCCAAGACCUUCAUUUCUGAAUUUGCUCAUUGAUACAAGAGGGAAUUUAAAUUGAGUUAAACCUUCCAAAACAGGAAGCCUCUCCAGAGUAUUUCCUUUUGUAUGAGCCACGUUUGAGGCCGCUGGGGAAAGGGGAAGGGAGAAGUCAGCCUAUUUUUCUUUAACAAAAAAUAUGUAUAAUUAUUUUUAUAGAUACAUACAUUUAAAACUUUCCUUUUCAGACCUAUACACAAAAUGCAAAUUUUAAUAAAACCGUACAGAGGCUUUUGACAAGAUUAGCAUAAGAAACGCUAAAUAUUCGAUUAUACAGUUAACUCACCAUCAUCUAUUUCCUGUUUAUUCAAAAGAGGAAAAAAGUUUUUGUGCUUUUUCAAAACCCAGUUUUUUAAUAUUUAAAAUGAAGGAAUCUUUCCACAAUUGCUGGCCAAACUACAAUACUUAAAAUUUUAAUUUUUCCAUUGGUCGUGUCUGAUGCAUUCGGGGGACCAGCUGGAGCCAAAUUCUGAACCCUCCACAAAUAAGUGGGAGUUAAUAUUGCCUUUGUUCUGACCUCAGUGUUGAAGAUCAGGAAAUAAUUUCUUCCCCCGCUGGUUAUUAGAGAGGUCUUUCCCUCUUUAGAGAAGAGCUUUGUUUUUUUCUUUUUUCCUGUAAAGAGCUACACUGUUUGCACUUUGUUCAUAGCUUGCGCGAGGGCUAAAAAGCUUCUUAGGGGUUGCAGGGAGAAGGUCAGGCAGAAGCCCCGACAGCAGGGGGUGCAGAGGGACCCCUCAAAGCCGCGGGGGCUGCAGGAGGGUGAGCCCCUGAAAGCGAGGCUGCGCAGCCCAGCCCGCCGAGCUCAGGCAGGUGCGCCCCAUCUUCCUGAUGAGCUUCACCUGCUGCUCUAGGACGCAGUUCUCCCGCAGGUCCGAGUCUGCGCGCGCACCACCCGGGGCUGCCAGAUCCAGAAGGGCCGGCUUCAGGUUCUUUUCCGGGGCGGGCAGCUUCCACGGAAUUCAGGGUUUGCCCGUCUGUCCUGGGAGUCUUCUGCUUGUCUUGAAGGAGGGCACGGCCGCGGUCUCGGUUUUGCACCCAAGGACUCCCAGUGCCUUGGUGCUGGUUCCCGGCCCACCCACGUAACAAGUGCCCUCCAGGUUCAGAGCCACAGCGUCGCGGUGGAAAUAGAAGGCCAGGACAGGGAGGGUUGGAGGCCUGCAGGUGCAGGCUGACCAGGCGGCUGGCUAUGGCCUCCACAUUGGUGGAAUAAUUCUGGCAAAUCUGGGAGCUCCUAGCUCGUGGGCAGUAGGGGCUAAACUCAAAAGCUGGUGUUGGCUGGUCCCCGAGGCAAGGGGGUGGUUGUGAAGAUGGCUCCGGAGGUUGCUGCUACAGAGGACGCUGGAAAAUGGUUUGAGGCUGGAAGAAGGGGCUCCCUGGGUCUGUUCCGUCCAAACAAUGUUGCAGCAAGAGACAGAUCCAGGGGACGGAAGGGUACUCUGACCAGCGAAGAGCUUUCCAAAAUUCAAACAGGAGAGUAGUUAGGAACUGUAAACAGUAGGUUUAUCUUCAGAAAUAUCAGCACCCCCAGGCCUUCCUUGGAAGCCUGAACUGGAAGGACUGGAAUUCGUCAGAGCAGGGACAGGAGCACCCCACGCACAACAGGAGGAAGAAGAUGUUCCAGGAGGAGGAGAUCAGGAUGAAUGGCCUACCAUAGCGGAGGGUGUUGGGAGCUGGACCUUGAAGGGCCACACAUCUUCGAGGUACCAGGUACCAGGAUACAGACAGUAAAUCUGACCCCGUGGUCCUGCCCUCUCAGGGCUUAUGGUCUAUUGGCAAGGACAGACCAUAAAUCAAACAAAACCAGUCAAUGUGAA